rnacentral:tRNA from 1 species
GGAGAGGUGUCCGAGUGGCCGAAGGAGCACGCUUGGAAAGCGUGUGUAGGUUUAUCCUACCGCGGGUUCGAAUCCCGCCCUCUCCGCAA